UGGUGGGGUUCCCGAGCGGCCAAAGGGAGCAGACUGUAAAUCUGCCGUCAUCGACUUCGAAGGUUCGAAUCCUUCCCCGCUUG
rnacentral:tRNA from 1 species